GACGAACGCUGGCGGCGUGCUUAACACAUGCAAGUCGAACGAUGAAGGGGAGCUUGCUCCUUGGAUUAGUGGCGAACGGGUGAGUAACACGUGAGUAACCUGCCCUGGACUCUGGGAUAACUGCGGGAAACUGUAGCUAAUACCGGAUAUGACCUUGGAUCGCAUGAUUUGGGGUGGAAAGUUUUUCGGUCUGGGAUGGACUCGCGGCCUAUCAGCUUGUUGGUGAGGUAAUGGCUCACCAAGGCGUCGACGGGUAGCCGGCCUGAGAGGGUGACCGGCCACACUGGGACUGAGACACGGCCCAGACUCCUACGGGAGGCAGCAGUGGGGAAUAUUGCACAAUGGGCGCAAGCCUGAUGCAGCAACGCCGCGUGGGGGAUGACGGCCUUCGGGUCGUAAACCUCUUUUAGUAAGGAAGAAGCCUUCGGGUGACGGUACUUGCAGAAAAAGCACCGGCUAACUACGUGCCAGCAGCCGCGGUAAUAC
rnacentral:rRNA from 1 species